UAUUUAUUUAUUUAUUUAUUUAUUUCAUUUAUAUACCGCCCCAUAGCCGAAGCUCUCUGGGAGGUUUACAAAAUUAAAAACAGUAAACAUUAAAAACAAAUAUACAAAAUUUAAAAACAUAAAAAGCAUGAAAACAACAGUAUC